ACGCACUACUCAAUGUUCUAGUCGGAACCUGAGUUGCAGUACCCCGGCAAAUGGGAAAGUGUGAUUAACAGCCAUGCUGCCUCCGGAUGUCCAAGCAGAGAGGGUGAGGCGUGCCUCCUGGGGAGGAGGAACGUGAAUCCAGCACUUCCAGGUGAGGAGACAGGCGGAAAACACGGCCAUACCUCACCAAAUCUGAUCGCAUUUUGACUGACAGCAGAGAUCCUUCUGACAGGGCCCAGGAGCCAGGAGGAACACCAAAGACACUGGCGAUGGAAGAGAGAGGGCGCACAUUUUGGACAUGCUCUUUUCUCUUGAAACAAAGUGACCAGCCUGAAAUAGUCUGAGUGGUCAAGGGAACAGAAUGACACUGGAGCACCAAAAUGACAGCUCUGUGAAAGGGGAAAGCCUUCAGUCUGCAAAGAUACUUCGUGAGGGUCUAAUGUAUACCAGAGAAUGGUCCAGGAGCUGAGAAUCUGGGAAAUACGCAGACAAAGGUCAUGUCCCUUAAAGUGAUGUCCAGUGAGACAAAGAAAGCAUGCUAAUGAGAAAAAUACAGAAGUGGACUUACUGUGUCAGCGAUGCAUUCGUGACAAGGAGAGCUGAAUGAUGCCAGGGUCCACUAUGACAGUGAAGGUUCCCAAAAGUUGGAAUGAACCAACGUGGAAGAGAACUUGGUCAUCACGCGGCACAUGCUGAAGUCAAAAGUGAUGUUCUCACGGCGGUCAGUACCAUAUUCACAUUGCAACUUGGAAAUUAAUUUUAAUAAAACAUCAUCUGUUCC